rnacentral:misc_RNA from 1 species
GCUCAUCGCGCAAAGGCAGGCGUGUUGCAGAGGAAAGUCCGGACAGGCACGGGCUGCGAUGCCCGUAGUGAUUGCGCGUGACCCAAUAAGUCACGGAAGGAGACAUACCCUCCUUACGGCGGUGAAAUCCACUCCGGCUGUUUACAGGCCGGAGCGGAAAAUAACCUGAAAGUGCCACAGAAACGAUUCGUUCCGGCGACGGAACGGUGCAAGGGUAAACCCCGCAAGCCUGCAACUCAAAUUAUGGUAGAGGAACCCUAAGACGGGAAUG